rnacentral:pre_miRNA from 2 species
AUACUCCUCCCUCCGCCCGGAAAUACUUGUUGGAGAAAUGGAUCUAUCUAGAUGCAUUUUAGUCCUAGAUACAUUCAUUUCUAUUCAUUUUUGCGACAAGUAAUUCCGAAGGAGGGAGUAAUAG